rnacentral:misc_RNA from 1 species
AACGCACGAGACCUGCGGACCUGCGGAAGGAUCAUUAAUGUUACCUCAUCCAACUUGCUUGCUGCGCCCAAGAAAUUGGACCAGCCAGCAAGCAAAGCACCCGUGAAUUUGUUAAAGUCCUUAACAGCAUCCAGCGCUGCUGGACCUGCUGUUAAAGCACCAUCUCUUAACCGAUUGUCUAAUCAAUGUGCGCCUCUACUCAUUUUUCUUUUAAGAUGAGUCUUGGCGCGAUUAAUUUCC